rnacentral:rRNA from 1 species
GAUGAACGCUGGCGGCGUGCCUAAUACAUGCAAGUCGAGCGAACGGACGAGAAGCUUGCUUCUCUGAUGUUAGCGGCGGACGGGUGAGUAACACGUGGAUAACCUACCUAUAAGACUGGGAUAACUUCGGGAAACCGGAGCUAAUACCGGAUAAUAUUUUGAACCGCAUGGUUCAAAAGUGAAAGACGGUCUUGCUGUCACUUAUAGAUGGAUCCGCGCUGCAUUAGCUAGUUGGUAAGGUAACGGCUUACCAAGGCAACGAUGCAUAGCCGACCUGAGAGGGUGAUCGGCCACACUGGAGCGGAGACACGGUCCAGACUCCUACGGGAGGCAGCAGUAGGGAAUCUUCCGCAAUGGGCGAAAGCCUGACGGAGCAACGCCGCGUGAGUGAUGAAGGUCUUCGGAGCGUAAAACUCUGUUAUUAGGGAAGAACAUAUGUGUAAGUAACUGUGCACAUCUUGACGGUACCUAAUCAGAAAGCCACGGCUAACUACGUG